UGAGGAAUAUUGGUCAAUGGGCGAGAGCCUGAACCAGCCAAAUCGCGUGAAGGAAGACUGCCUUAUGGGUUGUAAACUUCUUUUAUACAGGAAUAAAAAAGGGGACGUGUCCCUUAUUGCAUGUACUGUAUGAAUAAGCAUCGGCUAACUCCGUGCCAGCAGCCGCGGUAAUACGGAGGAUGCGAGCGUUAUCCGGAUUUAUUGGGUUUAAAGGGUGCGCAGGCGGGCUUUUAAGUCAGCGGUGAAAUCUCGGGGCUUAACUCCGAAACUGCCGUUGAAACUGGGAGUCUUGAGUAUGGAUGAAGUAGGCGGAAUUCGUUGUGUAGCGGUGACAUGCUUAGAUAUAACGAGGAACUCCGAUUGCGUAGGCAGCUUACUAAGCCAUAACUGACGCUCAAGCACGAAAGCGUGGGGAUCAAACAGGAUUAGAUACCCCUGGUAGUCCACGCCGUAAACGAUGAUUACUAGUUGUAUGCGAUAUACCGUAUGUGACUAAGCGAAAGCGAUAAGUAAUCCACCUGGGGAGUACGCCGGCAACGGUGAAACUCAAAUGAAUUGACGGGGUCAUAGCUG
rnacentral:rRNA from 1 species